GGUCAACAUAUUUCACUGGCACCUAUUCACAAGCUUGAAGAAGCUCUGUAUGAAUACCAGCCACUGCAGAUAGAGACAUAUGGACCACAUGUUCCUGAGCUUGAGAUGCUAGGAAGACUUGGGAACUUCACAGACAGCGAUCCCCAGGUGUUUCAUUUGGUUUAUCAGUGUUUAAUUUGAUGAAUGCCAUCAUGGGAAGU
ensembl:lncRNA novel transcript